GAUGAACGCUGGCGGCGUGCCUAAUACAUGCAAGUCGAGCGAAGAGGGGACGGGUGAGUAACACGUGGGUAACAUCCUAUAAGACUGGGAUAACUUCGGGAAACCGGAGCUAAACCGGAUACUUAGAGAUGGAUGCGUGCUGCAUUAGCUAGUUGGUCAGGUAACGGCUUACCAAGGCAACGACGCAUAGCCGACCUGAGAGGGUGAUCAGCCACACUGGAACGGAGACACGGUCCAGACUCCUACGGGAGGCAGCAGUAGGGAAUCUUCCGCAAUGGGCGAAAGCCUGACGGAGCAACGCCGCGUGAGUGAUGAAGGUCUUCGGAUCGUAAAACUCUUUUAUUAGGGAGGCGGUACCUAAUCAGAAAGCCCCGGCUAACUACGUGCCAGCCGCCGCGGUAAUAC
rnacentral:rRNA from 1 species